rnacentral:snRNA from 1 species
UCACUUUAGCAUUGUAUAUACUAAAAUUGGGAUGAUGCAGAGAGGAUUAGCAUGGACUCUGCACAAGAAUGAUCGUGCCAAUUUGUGAAGCAUUCCAUAUUUUU